CAAUAGCGUAUAUUAACGUUGUUGCAGUUAAAAAGCUCGUAGUUGGAUUUCUGGAGGGAGCGUCGGCCCGUAUUUACGAGUGCGUGACGUCUCUGUCCAUCCUUGCGGGAAGGCACGGCAUUGAUUUGUUGUGUCGGAUCGCAUCAUUUACUGUGAAAAAAUUAGAGUGUUCAAAGCAGGCUUUCGCUUGAAUACAUUAGCAUGGAAUAAUAAGAUAGGACUUUUGUGCUAUUUUGUUGGUUGAGCCUAAAGUAAUGAUUAAUAGGGAUAGUUGGGGGCACCUGUAUUGCGUUGUCAGAGGUGAAAUUCUUGGAUUUACGCAAGACAAACAGCUGCGAAAGCGUCUGCCAAGGAUGUUUUCAUUAA
rnacentral:rRNA from 1 species